GCACAGGUCCCUUUUUUCACAAACCUAAUUCCACACCUAAGUGGUAAGCAACUGAUAAACUGAAGACGUUGGGAGUCCAGGUAUAGAAUGAAGGGUGCUGUAGCUUUGCUGGUGUUGCUGUGCAGCGGUCUGACUGCGGCUACGAUUACAACCCCAGAAAACGAAGACAAAAACUGCCCGUCUGUCAUGUGCGACAAGCAAGAUUGAAGUCCUGGAGAACCGGCUUGCAGCUGCUGAGCGCCAGGUGGAGACACUGAACGCUAAAGCAGAAACGAAGGUGGCGUUCUCAGCUGGAUUUGGGGGUACUGGAUACUAUGGACCUUUCAAUGUUGACAAAACGCUUGUCUACGAAAAGGUCUACACCAACCUUGGCAACGCUUACAACCCGGCAACAGGCAUCUUCACAGCGCCAGUGGCAGGAGUCUAUCACUUUAGCGUCUAUCACCAUUCAGGACCAGGUCGCCGCUCAGACUCCAUGCUGUACAAGAACAAAGAACAAAUCGUAUUUAUUUCUGCUAUGAACAAGGACUGCUCCUACAACGGAUCUAAUGGUAUCAUACUGCAGCUGGAGGAGGGAGAUGUGGUAUAUGUUGUUUUGAAGGAUAAUUCAUGGAUCUGGGACCAUGUGAGCCAGGGUGGUGCCAAUGGAUGGUGCCACUUCAAUGGCAUUUUGCUGUUUGCUCAAUAAACCUCAGCGGAAUAUGUACAUACUGUUGCGUAAUAUUUUACCAGAGAAAGUCCAUAGAAAACCCUUCUCAAAUGGUUUUCUGCAUAAAUCAUACUGUUUUUUUUUUGCUUCUUAUGUGCUUCUAACAUACUGAAAGUUUAUCAUUGGCAGUUGAUAGUAACAGUUAAACAACAUUUUGACGUGUCACAUUUCAACAACUUCAAUGGCAUUCUGCUAUUCCCUCAGUAAUGUGUUUGUUUGUUCCUAAACGUCGCGGUGUCUCUUUCCCAUCAGCCUCUCGCAGCUCAUGAGAUGAUCCAAGUAGGACCGAGAACAAAAAGAAGGUCAGUCUAGGGGCUCAUCAAUUCAAUCUGGAUCUCUGACGUUAAAUCCUUGACAGAUAGUCUGAUCUAAAUGUAGGUCUGUGUUCAAUCUGACUACUUUACAGAUAGUCUGAUCUAAAUGUAGGUCUGUGUUCAAUCUGACUACUUGACAGAUAGUCUGAUCUAAAUGUAGGUCUGUAAUCAAUCUGGAUCACUGAGGCGUUACAUAUUGCACAAUAGAAACAGUGUGCAACACAGCACCAACCAAACCCCUCUCUGUUCUCUCUGUACCAGGCCUAGGAAAGGCCCCAUGUUGUCUGUCUCCCCCCCCCCCACAGUCCUCUCUCUACCAGGCCUAGGAUAGGCCCCAUGUUGUCUGUCUCCUCCCCCACAGUCCUCUCUCUACCAGGCCUAGGAUAGGCCCCAUGUUACCCAUUUUAAGCACCCCCAAAAGCAAAUUCGAACGUAUGGUUAACAAGUCCUCGAUUUAUACCUAUUAUAGGUUAGUCUGUACAUAGGAGAGGAAAAAAACAUAUUCAAAAUAACCUCACCAGAAAAGAAGAACAGACACUCAAUGAAAUAAUGAAAGAUCCAUCUUUGGUUAUUCAACUUGCAGAUAAAGGGGGGUGCUGUGGUUGUUUUAGACUAUGACAAAUACAAAGAAGAGAUUCAGAGACAACACGGUAAUGAACAGUUUCCAUAGAAAACUGAGUGUUGAUCCCACAUCUGUAUGUUUCAAAAGGGAUGUGCUCUAAUCUGUGAACAAGCUCUAUUAAACAACCUUAUCUCAAAACCUGAAUAUAAA